GGUCGUGUGGCGUAGUGGUAGCGCGUGCAUGCUCCGUCUAGCGACCUCGAAUUCUAGAGAAUUCGAGGUUACUGGAGCCCGUGCCAGGUCGUAGGUUCGAUCCCCACCGUGACUA